rnacentral:rRNA from 1 species
CACGUAGGCACCAAGCGUUGUCCGGAUUUAUUGGGCGUAAAGAGCUCGUAGGCGGUUUGUCGCGUCUGCCGUGAAAGUCCGGGGCUCAACUCCGGAUCUGCGGUGGGUACGGGCAGACUAGAGUGAUGUAGGGGAGACUGGAAUUCCUGGUGUAGCGGUGAAAUGCGCAGAUAUCAGGAGGAACACCGAUGGCGAAGGCAGGUCUCUGGGCAUUAACUGACGCUGAGGAGCGAAAGCAUGGGGAGCGAACAGG